CAGUCGCCGCGGGAAUACAGAGGGUGCGAGCGUUAAUCGGAUUUACUGGGCGUAAAGCGUGCGUAGGCGGCUUUUUAAGUCGGAUGUGAAAUCCCUGAGCUUAACUUAGGAAUUGCAUUCGAUACUGGGAAGCUAGAGUAUGGGAGAGGAUGGUAGAAUUCCAGGUGUAGCGGUGAAAUGCGUAGAGAUCUGGAGGAAUACCGAUGGCGAAGGCAGCCAUCUGGCCUAAUACUGACGCUGAGGUACGAAAGCAUGGGGAGCAAACAGGAUUAGAUACCCCCGUAGUCCCUGUCUCUUAUAA
rnacentral:rRNA from 1 species